rnacentral:rRNA from 1 species
UAGGGAAUCUUCCGCAAUGGGCGAAAGCCUGACGGAGCAACGCCGCGUGAGUGAUGAAGGUCUUCGGAUCGUAAAACUCUGUUAUUAGGGAAGAACAAAUGUGUAAGUAACUAUGCACGUCUUGACGGUACCUAAUCAGAAAGCCACGGCUAACUACGUGCCAGCAGCCGCGGUAAUACGUAGGUGGCAAGCGUUAUCCGGAAUUAUUGGGCGUAAAGCGCGUGUAGGCGGUUUUUUAAGUCUGAUGUGAAAGCCCACGGCUCAACCGUGGGGGGUCAGUGUAAACUGGAAAACUAGAGUGAAGAAGAGGAAAGUGGAAUUCCAAGUGUAGCGGUGAAAUGCGCAGAGAUAUGGAGGAACAACAGUGGCGAAGGCGACUUUCUGGUCUGUAACUGACGCUAAUGUGCGAAAGAGUGGGGAUCAAACAGG